rnacentral:misc_RNA from 1 species
GAUGAAGAACGCAGCGAAGUGCGAUAAGUAGUGUGAAUUGCAGAAUUUCGUGAAUCAUCGAAUCUUUGAACGCAAAUUGCACUCUCCGGUUUUCCGGGAGAGUAUGCCUGUUUGAGGGUCAGCCUAAAUAAAUUCGGCUUCGUUGCUGUGUUUCGCGGCAACGUUUUAGUCGGAAUUUGGGUCAUCUUAAACCGAAAGGUCUUAAGCGACUUAAAAAUUUUUUUUACGAUCCCACGAACGUUUCUAAGAUCUUCUUACACGUUCAAGGUGUCGAAUACCCUACUAGUCGUGGCCGUCUUAUCGGAUCGCGUCCAUAAUAUUUAAUCUUUAACUGACCUCAGACAGGUAAGAGUACCCGCUGAACUUAAGCAUAUCAAUAAGCGGAGGA